CCUACGGGUGGCAGCAGUGAGGAAUAUUGGUCAAUGGGCGGAAGCCUGAACCAGCCAAGUAGCGUGCAGGAUGACGGCCCUACGGGUUGUAAACUGCUUUUAUACGGGAAUAACGCGCCUUACGUGUAGGGCUUUGCAUGUACCGCAUGAAUAAGGACUGGCUAAAUCCGUGCCAGCAGCCGCGGUAAUACGGAAGGUCCGGGCGUUAUCCGGAUUUAGUGGGUUUAAAGGGAGCGUAGGCCGCAUGUCAAGCGUGCUGUGAAAUGUUCGGGCUCAACCCGGGCCUUGCAACGCGAACUGGCGGCCUUGAGUCCGCGGAAGGCAGGCGGAAUUCGUCGUGUAGCGGUGAAAUGCUUAGAUAUGACGAAGAACCCCGAUUGCGAAGGCAGCUUGCUGCAGCGGCACUGACGCUGAUGCUCGAAAGCGCGGGUAUCGAACAGGAUUAGAUACCCCGGUAGUC
rnacentral:rRNA from 1 species